rnacentral:rRNA from 1 species
GACGGAGGAGGCAAGCGUUAUCCGGAAUUAUUGGGCGUAAAGGGUACGUAGGCGGCUGGGCAAGUCUGGUGUCAAAGGCCACAGCUCAACUGUGGGAAGGCCCUGGAAACUGACCGGCUAGAGUGAGGUAGGGGUUGCGGGAAUUCCCGGUGUAGCGGUGAAAUGCGUAGAUAUCGGUAAGAACACCUGAGGCGAAAGCGCGCAACUGGGCCCUAACUGACUCUGAGGUGUGAAAGCUAGGGGAGCGAAUGGG